rnacentral:rRNA from 1 species
UACGGAGGAUGCAAGCGUUAUCCGGAAUGAUUGGGCGUAAAGCGUUUGUAGGUGGCAGUUCAAGUCUGCUGUCAAAGACCGGGGCUUAACUUCGGAAAGGCAGUGGAAACUGAACAGCUAGAGUAUGGUAGGGGCAGAGGGAAUUCCUGGUGUAGCGGUGAAAUGCGUAGAGAUCAGGAAGAACAUCGGUGGCGAAGGCGCUCUGCUGGACCAUAACUGACACUCAGGGACGAAAGCUAGGGGAGCGAAUGGG